ACUGCUCAGUAACACGUGGACAACCUACCCUAUGGAGGGGGAUAACCCCGGGAAACUGGGGAUAAUACCCCAUAGACUAUGGAAGCUGGAAUGCUCUGUAGUUGAAAGGUCCGCCGCCAUAGGAUGGGUCUGCGGCCGAUUAGGUUGUUGUUGGGGUAACGGCCCAACAAGCCUGUAAUCGGUACGGGUUGUGGGAGCAAGAGCCCGGAGAUGGAUUCUGAGACACGAAUCCAGGCCCUACGGGGCGCAGCAGGCGCGAAAACUUUACAAUGCGGGAAACCGUGAUAAGGGAACUCCGAGUGCCCGUAAAAUCGGGCUGUCCAUCUGUUUAAAUAACAGGUGAAGAAAGGGCCGGGCAAGACCGGUGCCAGCCGCCGCGGUAAUACCGGCGGCUCGAGUGGUGGCCACUAUUACUGGGCUUAAAGCGUUCGUAGCUGGUCUGUUAAGCCUCUGGGGAAAUCUACUGGCUUAACCAAUAGACGUUUCAGGGAUACUGGCAGACUAGGGACCGGGAGAGGUGAGAGGUACUCCAGGGGUAGGAGUGAAAUCCUGUAAUCCUUGGGGGACCACCUGUGGCGAAGGCGUCUCACCAGAACGGCUCCGACAGUGAGGGACGAAAGCUGGGGGAGCAAACCGGAUUAGAUACCCGGGUAGUCCCAGCCGUAAACGAUGUGCGUUAGGUGUAUCGAUGACCACGAGUCAUCGAGGUGCCGAAGAGAAAUCGUGAAACGUACCGCCUGGGAAGUACGGUCGCAAGGCUGAAACUUAAAGGAAUUGGCGGGGGAGCAC
rnacentral:rRNA from 1 species